rnacentral:snRNA from 1 species
AAAUUUGCACAAUCUAGCUGUGACUUCUGCCAUUCUGUUGAUUUCUGGGGUUGAUUUGGCUGAUCUGGCUUGCCAGGCUGGUGUCCUCUUCUUCCCUCACCACUCCAUGUACAUCCCUCCCAAAGCAAUGCCCUCAGCAGACAACCUUCUCUGAAUAAGGAGGAUCAGAUUUCAGUCAAGGGUACACAAGUAUCUGCACUCCCUUGAUAGAGCCUCCAAACAAGCUCUCAAAGUCCACACUUUAUCCAUCCCUCAUCCCUAUAUUAAUGGACACCUAGAUUGUUUUCAUAACUUAGUUUUUGUU